GGAGAAGUGGCAGAGUGGUUAAAUGCAACGGUCUUGAAAACCGUCGGUCGGUAAUACGGCUCGUAGGUUCGAAUCCUACCUUCUCCG
rnacentral:tRNA from 1 species